AUAUCUCAGAUUCCAACGAACUCUUUUUUUUUUUUUUUUUUUUUUUUGUUCAAAUACUGAGAAGAGUGGACUUAGAAGAGAAAGCACAGUAAGGUAUGUAAUAUAUAAUCCACAUGAAUUUUGAUUUUAUAUGAAAAAUUUACACCGUAGGACACAUUUUGACUUUUGAAUUACAUGAAAAGGCACAUGUUGCCUGAGACACACAUUUGUUGUGUUAUUUGUCGUUUCUACCCUUUCUCUCCGUUAACUGUAUUUUUUCUAUAACAAGUCAGCUAACUAUACAACUAAAAUAGAUAAUAUAUAUUUAUUUUUAAAAAGGUUUGAACCAAUCAUCAUCAUCUCUCUCGUGGAUGGAACCACACUUUCUCUCUCUCUCUCGUUUAGCUUCAUCAAAGGGUUCCGGCAAAGGGUUUGAACCAGUCAUCAAGUCGUUUAGCUCCGGCAAAAGUCUCCGUUCUUCACCACGAUGAACCUCUGGCGCCAUAAACGUCACCGCAAACCCUCAGCUACGACGAGCAACCUUUGGCGCAUCUGGAGCCAUAAACGCCGCCGAAAUCCUCUUUCGUCACCAUAUGAGUCGCCAAUUUCAAUCCUUCUCGAUUAUAAAUUAAAGUUGAUUCCAAAGAGAUCUCCUAUGGAAACAAGUUGAGCAAACAAAAGGAGAUGGGUUGUUUAUUGGGUUGUCAAUGAUUGUGAUGACACAUCUCUUGGAUCAGUUUCUGGGUCUAUUAACACAAGGUGAUAAUGAAGUCCGAGGAGGUCCUUGAGACCAACAAUGGUGAAGUUUCAGAGUUUUGCAUUUCUAAUCCUUAUAUUUUUACUAUUAACGAUUUUACCUCAAAAUUAUUAAAAUGUUCAGAACAAUCUUCUUGA